UGCUUGUACAUCUUGGGUAGCAUUCUCAUCUGAAGGAGGGAGGCCAUCUGGGAUAGAUUCGAACCGAAAGUCGGGCAAGCCAUUCAGGGAAUAAGGGCCUCUAGAUUUAAGCAAGCGUCUAUGGUUGAACUCUGUGUUCACAAAGGUUAUGAGAAAACCUCGGGAAUGCAGUAGUUUUGCUAGUUUAAGCAUUGCCUUUACAUGGCUUUGAGCUGGACAGGGAAUACAGAUUACAUGAGGCUUGUCUGCUAAGGUUUUGCGAAACAUGUCUCUAGCUCUUUCCUUCUUUCUCUAACUCUUUCUUUAGAGUAAUUGUUUUGCUACUGUCGUCUGUCAAAGUGAAGCAAACACUUUACACAGGAUACAUUCUCUUAUCAACAAGACUCUAUAUAUAAAAUAGCAGCCAAGUAGAGGUACAAUAUGGAUUUUAUCUUCUCUUUUAAUUUUAAUCUAAUUAAAAUCAUUAUUCUAGACUGAUGCCGGCCAUGGAAUUUAUUGGCUUUUGUAUCAGUUGAUAACAGGAGAAUUUUCGUGGUUGUCUAUGACUAUCAGGCUGCCGUAUGCCAAAAACGUUUGACAUUAGAAAGGCCGGAAACAGUCGUUAUUAUUAAAAUAUCCAUUAUAUCUCAAUUUGUAAUAUCAGUCGAUUGUAAUCUUAUGACUUUAAUAAAUGUCUAUUGUUUAAAAGAAUAUGGAUCAUGAAUAUUGUGCUUAAUUUUUAUCAAAUAAAUAAGGAUGAUAAGAUUAGAACUCGUAACCACUGGUCAUCAAGGCUGUGAUACCAUGUCAAAGAACCAUCUCAAACCAAUAACUUAAGAUUUUAGAUAAAGUCCUAGGAUAUGAUUUAUAUUAUUCUCUACUAAAUAUUAGGUGGCCAUCAUUGUUGACAAAUGAGUAAGAGGAGCUACCAUUGAAGCCUAUAAAUAAAGGCAUUACUUGGAGAGCAAAAUGAGUGAGAGAGUGUGAAGAGAAGAGAGAAAGAGGAGUGGCUGCUAAGGGCAGCAGCUCUGCUACCAUGUGCAGCAGUGUGUGAGAGCAAUGAGAGUUAAGUUUGAGUGAAGUGAUCCUUUUCUUUCAUAUGUGUUAUAAUCCUUUCUCUAUCUAUCUCUAAUAAUAUUGGCUUUUUUUUUAUGUGGAUAUUGACGCUUUGUUGAAUUACAUUAAAUAUUAUAUCAGUUUAUUUAAUUUUUAAUAAGUAAUUAUCAAAACAUCACUGAUAAGAAACCUUAACAUGAACUGCAGGUGAAGGGGUCAUCGAAUAAAACCACUGAGUUAAGAUUUUAUAACUUUGCUGUCCAUUAUAAAAGAAAGGAGGAGGACAAAUCAUCAAUUUCAUCUUCAAGUUUGGUCCAUUGUGUCUAAUCACAACACCAUCAACAUCUCAAGUUUUUUUUUUUUUGUAGUCAAUAAUCAGGGCUGUCAAUUAUUGUCUUUGCAGGAGAUUUUACUGGUUCACCUUGCUGCUUGGACGUAUUUGUACUCAGAUUCAUGAAUGAGAUGCGACCGCACACUGUUUUUCCAGUUUAUACAAUUGCAUUUGAUAAGAACGUAGAAAUUGCUGUUUCAUCUCGGCAAAGUCAUAAAGGCAUGAAUAUUCUCACCAAAAUUGGAAUUUCAUCUGCGUUGAAAAAAUAUUAAACUAAUGAUUGCUUGGUAUUAAUUUUCCCCAAGGACAAAACACCAUAUUUACGUCUAAUGGUUCAAUGAAUUUGGGUUCCUCCUUGACUGAAUCCUUCUCAAACACUACACGCCACGCUUCUUUUCAUGAAAAAUCUCGUGAAAUUAAUGUUGCUCUUGCUUCCAAGUGUUUUUUUUUAAAUAUUAUUUAUCUUAAAAAAAUAUUAAAUUUAUCUAUUUUUUUAUGAUUUUAAUAUAUUUAUAUUAAAAAUAAAAUAAAUAAAUCUAAGAUUAUAUUAGAUCGAUUCAUAUCAAUCCGAGUUAACAUAUCAAAUAUACAAACCUGAAUCAUAAGAUAAUGAUAACCUUAUAUAAAAAAUUCAAAAUAAAUUAUGAAGUUUAUUUUUCAAUCAAUCUAAUAUAUAUUAAAGAAUAAAAUUUUAAAAAAAAUAAUUAAAAAAAAAUAAUAACUCAAGUCAACUCAAAUCCACAUGUCAUACCCACAACUCGAAUUAUAAUGUCAAGAUAAUCUCAUAAAAAGUAAAUAAAAAAAAUUAUAAAGUCUAAUUUUUAAUCAAUCCAAUAUUAAAUGAUAAAAUUAAAAAAAAAUUACAAAACAUAUAUAAAAAUAACCCAAGUAAAUCCAGGUUAACUCGUCAAAUUUAUAACUCAAGUCAUAAGACUAGGAUAACGUUAUAAAAAAUAAACUAUAAAAAUAAUUUGAGUUAACCAAUCAAACUUGCAAUUCAGAUCAUUAUACUAAAAUAAAAUCAUAUAAAACUAAUUAAAAUACAUUAUAAAAUUUAGUUAUUAAUUAUUCUUACUUUAAAAAAAAACAAAACGGAUGCCAUAGACAAUAGUGAAUGACAUACUAUUAGUUGGGACGAGGAUGAAGAUAGUGCGGAUUGAUUUACUUCGACGAAUCAUGUGGUUUUGUGAAGUAAUUAGGUGCAUUUGGUGCGUGGUACAUGAAUUGAAAUCAGGUGUUAAUUUUAUCCGAAAUCUCCUUCUCCUCGUACACACCGCCACUACUCCACUGUUAAUAUUAAUAUUAUUAUUAUUUUAAAAUCUAAUUUAAAAAUCAACUCAAAACAAGAUCCAAAUCACAAGUUAGAAAGGUCAAUUCACGAUGAACCAAUUUUUUAUUAUAAAAAUACAAAAUAAUCAAAUCAAUCUUAUUUUUUUUUAAAAAAAUUAAUAUAUUUUUAUCUAUAUUUUAUCUCAGAUUGAAUUUGUUUUUUUACCUGGUGAAGUCGGAUUAAUUAUUUUUUUUAUUUUUUUCUUAAACUCCAAUCGAUCCAAUCCCCGGAUCAACUAGGUUUAAUCUAAUAUCUAUUAAAUAUAAAAUAAGAUAUAUAUUUUUUUUAGUUUCAUUUAAAAUACACCAAAUACAGAAAAAGAGAAAUUUCUCGAGUCCUCUCUAGUUUGUUCAAUUUUAGUCUAGUACAAUCAAUACAUAGGAGACUACCUUAUGUUGUACUUUGAAGUUAUGUAGUGUGUGGGUUGGUAAAAAGGCCAUUAAUACGAACCAUACUCUUCGGUCUUUCUUUUCCCUAAUGGACCUAACAGGGCUAGAAUAAAACAAUUAUAAUCUCAUUUUUUAUCUAGCUUGUAUAUAUUAAAGUUUUUUUAAUGAAAUAUAAAGUUAAUAAUGUAGUUGUUCUAGUUUUACAAAAAAAAAAAAAAAAAAAAAUAGAGUCGGCGGAUAACAUCUUCGACUAAUGUAUCACAAAUAUUAAUUCUGAUAUUUUCAGUUAUGCUAAUUUUCUAACUAUUUUAACAAAAAAAAUAAAUAAAUGCAAAAACACUCGUCGUAUUGCUCCUUCGAAUUAGAGGGACUGAGCAAGUCUCAUAGAAAAUAAAUGAUUUAAUAUGGGCCAAAGUUUCUAUGAUCUCUGGGUUGGUGGGCUAUAAUGGAUCUAAGCUAAGGGACCAUAUGUGGGACUAUCUGUAAAAUUAAUUUCUUGAAUCUUCGGCCUAUUUUUGUUCGGUAAUUGAUCUGAAAGGGCUGAAUCAAAAUCAAAAUCAAAAUCGUCCAUGCACAAUACACACACUGGUUAGGAGUUAGGCAUUCUGCGCUACACCGUGCAUUCACCUUUUAUUUUUUUUAAAAGUUGGGUCUUGAUACUGGUAUAAUCCAAAGCUAUUUUGUUCCUUGCACAGCCAAUGACUCAAGGUUAUUUUAAGUUCUACAACAUAUACGGUUCAAGGAUAAUUGAGCCUUGACGUGUCCAAGCACUACAACUCUACAAGUGUGUUGGGGUGUGCCAAGUCACAAAGUAGACAGCCCAAGCGCCACAUGUACACAACAUAAAGAUAGAAUUCAGGUGCCACGUAUGCGAAGGGUGUAGCCACCACUGAGACAGGACUCGAGCGCAGCCCAAGCUCAAUGAAAAAGGAAGGAUUCAAAUCUGUUUUCGUUUACAAUGUUUCAUGACAAAAGCACUGCCUUCACCAACUCGUCUAAAUUCAUGGAUGAUGACCCGCUUGGACCAGCGGCUUCCUCUGCUAAUUUUCUCCACUCCAUGACUUUUUUCUUUACCUCCCUGCCCUUCUCUCUUUCCAUCAACUCUCGCACAAGCUUCUCCACUUUAUCUCUUUCCGCAUUGCUAUCAAUCUCCAUUCCGAUGCCCCACUCAUUGCAAGUGUACCUACAGUUUGUUGGUUGAUCACCAAAGAAGGGCAAACAAAGCAUGGGCACCCCAGAAGAAAUGCUCUCAGCUGUUGAAUUCCAUCCACUAUGUGUUAGGAAACCUCCUAUUGAUGGGUGGUUGAGAACUUCCUCUUGUGGACACCAGUUUGAAAUAAAUCCUCUGUCUUUAGUCUCGUCACUGAAUUCCGGUGGCAAUAUGGCGGAGUCGCCUGUGACCAUGUCAGGCCUUAUUAUCCAUAAAAAUGGAUGGCCACUUUUAGCAAGUCCCAUUCCCAAUUCAAUCAGCUGCUGCUUUGUGGCGACUGCUAUGCUACCAAAAUUCACAUAAAGGACGGAGUUUGGUUUCUUGGAAUCAAGCCAUUGGAGACACUCAACCUCUUCUUUCCAUAGAUUAUAUCCAAUAGAAUCUAGAUCAUCUUCUUUCAUUUGAUUGAGAAGUAAUUGAAGUGGACCGAUCGUGUAGACACGAGGAAACAUUGAGUAAAGAGCACUCAAGACUUCUUUCUCCAAAGCAUCAAAAGUAUGGAAAAUCACUGCAGAACCUUCAGAUGCUCUCUCAGCACAUUCCAUGCAGAAGUUGAAAAAAUAAUCAUCUGGAUCUGUUGUACGAAGAAAACUUGGAAGAUCCCUCAAUCGUAUAUCUUUCAUUCCAGGAAUCCAGUCCAGUACUUGAUCCAAAUAGCCAUUUGUUAAAAAGCUCUCGUCUGCGAACAAAAAUUAAAUGCAUAUGUAGCAUACCAGUUAUGGGCUAGUAAAUGAAGGCAACAGCAGAAGAGGAAUUAGCGUAAAAUCAGAAGAGAAGAAAGGUUCCCUAGCUUGAAAUCAAAUUUCAGGUUACGCAGCCGAAGGGCUACCCUGGAAUUAUAACCACGGAUCUGGUACAUGUACUAUACCAUGAUCCAGCAUUAACUACCAGGAUAUUGUACCAUUCAAUCAGAAAGUUUUAGUCCAUAUAUGAACUCAGUUCAUGUAGCAAUCUAUUUAUUUCCAUGGAUGACGGCUACGAUGAUGCAGCACAUGAACUACUAGGAUAUUUAUCUAAUGCCCAAAUGAAAUAAGAAAAAAAUCAUAAUGAAGUUGUGAUGUCAAUUCCAAUUCUUGCUCUUACCUUUUAAUGGAAACAGUCCUCUUUCUUUGAGCUCUUUAUAUUGCUUAAGCCCCAUGAAACUGCAAGCAGAGAUAGAAAAGAACAAGGCAACAGGAAUUCCAUGCCUCUGAGCAGCAGUGAUGGCAGCUGGCACAAAUCCAUCAGAUACAAUGCAAGUCACUUGAGGAACAUCAGAAGAUGCUGUAUCAUUGAGCUUGGCAAGCAAUUCAUUAAAUGGAGCUAGCAAGUUCUUCUUGCAAGCCUCAAAAAUUGCUUGUACAUCUUGGGUAGCAUUCUCAUCUGAAGGAGGGAGGCCAUCUGGGAUAGAUUCGAACCGAAAGUCGGGCAAGCCAUUCAGGGAAAAAGGGCCUCUAGAUUUAAGCAUGCGUCUAUGGUUGAACUCUGUGUUCACAAAGGUUAUGAGAAAACCUCGGGAAUGCAGUAGUUUUGCUAGUUUAAGCAUUGCCUUUACAUGGCUUUGAGCUGGACAGGGAAUACAGAUUACAUGAGGCUUGUCUGCUAAGAUUUUGCGAAACAUGUCUCUAGCUCUUUCCUUCUUUCUCUAACUCUUUCUUUAGAGUAAUUGUUUUGCUACUGUCGUCUUUCAAAGUGAAGCUAACACUUUACACAGGAUACAUUCUCU
rnacentral:lncRNA from 1 species